GGACAGAGAGAGAGAGAGACAUUCAUGUGAAAGAGAAACGUGGAUCAGUUGUCUACUAUACGUGAUGGAUUCCCAACCCAGAGAGGGGAAGGGAAGAAGAAAGAGGAAGAGAAACAUCGAUAGGUUGCCUCCAACACACCCCUAACCAGGGACCUGGCCAGCAACCCAGACAUGUGCCCUGACCUAGAACCCAACCAAUGACCUUUUGCUUUGCUGUAUGAUGGCCCAGCCCACUGAGCCACAUCAGUCAGGGUUGCAACCCGCAUCUUAAUUAAUGACCCCCAAUAUACACGUUACCCACAGCACCGGAUCUGCGUACAGCACCAAACCAAGCCACGGAGCCCGAGGUUCUGUCUUCGUGGUGACAGUCCUACACCACGUCACAUAAAGAGUGGUAGGAAACACAUGACUUACAAAACUAAGUCACAACCUGUGCUGUCAAGGAAUUUACAGUGUGAGGGGAAGGACCACAGACCAAACAAAACCCCCAAGAGCUGUAAUGCUACCACACGUACGUUUCACGGGGCUAUUAAAGUGAUUCCAGUUAUUGUACAAGCAAGGAAACAAUUGUAUAGAGCUCACAUACAGGCUCAUGAUUAAUCUAAGGAGCUUCAGCCCCACCCCGACCGGGGUGGUUGAAAGCUGUACUGCAAAGCAAAGGGUCAAGGGUUUGAUGCCAGUUCUGUGCCAGCACAUG